GAACUUCCAAUGGGCUCCGCUGCAUCGCACGGUUGGUGCCCGCGCCCAUGUCGUAUUCCCAGCGCUGCUGGUGUUCCCAGAGGUGGCCCUGGGUGGCAACUCCGAGGUGGGUGGCAUCAGGAACUAGAGGAGAUGCUACCUCAAGCCUGCCUUCCACCAUGGCCUCUGUUCACAGAGACCCCAGGGCAUGACAAAGGGUUCCUCCUUGUUACCAACGCUUGGCCUGGCUCCACGGAUCCCGUUUCAAAUUGGGUCACUUUUUCUUUUCUGCAGUAAAACUUAUGAAAGGAAA